UCCAAUGCCAGCAGCCCAUUGAAAAGCCCAACUACUCUGCCAGAGAUUCCAUUUUAUUGUCUCAUGUCCUGAACAAAGAAUCUGGCCAAUGCCAUCAGCUUUGGCUGGAGGGAAGAUGUGACAGUGGGGGGAGAGAGGCAGAUAACACUGUCUUGCGCCACUCAUGAAAUUCAGAAGUCCACUUGUUUCCAUGAUUGAACUUCUUAUCAGAAGAAAGAAUGGACAUCAGAGGUUUGCUGGGACAAGGUCUUUCCGGAAUCCAUAAGUUGGGGAAGAAAGGUAGACUUAAGAAGGAAGACCAAACUCUGAGGAAGAUCAUCCCCUUGUCAGUCAAGAAGAGAACUAGCUAUGAAGGACCAAAAAGCAACAUAGCAGGAAGAGGAGUGAGGGAGUCAGGAGACCUCAGUUCCAGCCCCAUCUCUGGCACCAAGUAGACUCGCAGACCCCAGCACCACUUCCACCCACUCCAGUGACUCUCACUCACCUGGGCCGGGUCAGCCUACUGAUAUAUCUUUGGAGCUCCGCAGCAUACAGAGCCAUCUGCUCUAGGGUGGCACCAUCGCCGGGGUACACUGGCUCCUGUGCAGCCCCCUGAGCACACAGUGGCAGCAAGAGAGCCACACAGCAAGAGAGUGUUGGGGAUGGAAUCUACCUGGAAAAUCUCUAGCUAUUGGGGGUCAAUAUGGGUAAAGGCAAAGGCUUCUCUGGAUCAUCUGUCCUUGACUGUACCCUGGACUUGCUUUGCUGCUGAGUAAACAUUUGCUGAGUCCCGUGGGAAAGUGCAUAGUCAUAAGUAAAUAGAGAAGUCUUAGAAUAGACAAUUAACCUUCACCCUGAAGUGAUGCUCCUCUGGUGUGUCUUAUCUAGUGAGAACCUUGUACCCUCAAGCUAUGCUCCCCAGGUGUCUUAUCUUGUGAGAACUUUGUAUCUUUAGCUCUUGCUGUUUGGAUAUUGUAGAUCAUCAUUUCAC